rnacentral:rRNA from 1 species
UACGGGGGGAGCAAGCGUUGUUCGGAUUUACUGGCGUAAAGGGCGCGUAGGCGGUCAGCACAAGUCAGUUGUGAAAUCUCCGGGCUUAACUCGGAAAGGUCAACUGAUACUGUGCGACUAGAGUGCAGAAGGGGCAACUGGAAUUCUCGGUGUAGCGGUGAAAUGCGUAGAUAUCGAGAGGAACACCUGGCGGCGAAGGCGGGUUGCUGGGCUGACACUGACGCUGAUGCGCGAAAGCCAGGGGAGCGAACGGG